rnacentral:rRNA from 1 species
UACGUAGGGUGCAAGCGUUGUCCGGAAUUAUUGGGCGUAAAGAGCUCGUAGGCGGUCUGUCGCGUCUGCUGUGAAAACUCAGGGCUUAACCCUGAGCUUGCAGUGGGUACGGGGCAGACUAGAGUGCGGUAGGGGAGACUGGAAUUCCUGGUGUAGCGGUGAAAUGCGCAGAUAUCAGGAGGGAACACCGGUGGGCGAAAGGCGGGGU